rnacentral:snRNA from 1 species
AAUAUAUACAUGUAAAUUAUAAACAUAUUUAAUAACAAUACAGAGAAGAUUAGCAUGGCGCCUGCACAAGGAUGACACCCAUAAAUCGAGAUAUGGUCCAAAUUUUU